rnacentral:tRNA from 1 species
GCAGGGGUAGCCAAGCUUGGCCAACGGCGCAGGACUUAGGAUCCUGUCCUUAGUGGUCCGUGCGUUCAAAUCGCACCCCCUGCACCA